CUAGCCAAAAUUUGCAUGAAAUGGUGGAGAUUUCACGAAGAAGACCUCAUGGGUGCCGCGAGGAACAUUGCUCGAAAUCCAUCAAUUGUGAUACGUUUUCCUUCAAAUACCACUACCAAAACACUCUCCUAGAACCCAGGAACAAAGCCCAAGUAGUGAUGAAGGCGUCAGAGCAAGUUUGGAGGUCGAAUCGAAUCAUACCCAAUUCUAGGGUUUUGUACGGUUUAAGCAAAAAUUAGGGCCUUUCCCGACCAAAUUGGACUUGGCCACAGGUAUAAAACUUGCUCUACUCAUUGAGAUCUUCAUUUCUAUGAAAUUUGGUAAUUUUUGGAAAUA
rnacentral:lncRNA from 1 species